UACAGAGGGUGCAAGCGUUGUUCGGAAUUAUUGGGCGUAAAGGGUGUGUAGGUGGCGCGCUAAGUCGGGUGUGAAAUUUCGGAGCUUAACUCCGAAACUGCAUUCGAUACUGGCGUGCUUGAGGACUGGAGAGGAGACUGGAAUUCAUGGUGUAGCAGUGAAAUGCGUAGAGAUCAUGAGGAAGACCAGUGGCGAAGGCGGGUCUCUGGACAGUUCCUGACACUGAGACACGAAGGCCAGGGGAGCAAACGGG
rnacentral:rRNA from 1 species